rnacentral:rRNA from 1 species
GACGAACGCUGGCGGCGUGCUUAACACAUGCAAGUCGAACGGAAAGGCCCUGCUUUUGUGGGGUGCUCGAGUGGCGAACGGGUGAGUAACACGUGAGUAACCUGCCCUUGACUUUGGGAUAACUUUAGGAAACUGGGGCUAAUACCGGAUAGGCGCUCCUGCUGCCUGGUGGGGGCUGGAAAGUUUCGGCGGUUGGGGAUGGACUCGCGGCUUAUCAGUUUGUUGGUGGGGUAGUGGCUUACCAAGGCUUUGACGGGUAGCCGGCCUGAGAGGGUGACCGGCCACAUUGGGACUGAGAUACGGCCCAGACUCCUACGGGAGGCAGCAGUGGGGAAUAUUGCACAAUGGGCGGAAGCCUGAUGCAGCAACGCCGCGUGCGGGAUGACGGCCUUCGGGUUGUAAACCGCUUUCGCCUGUGACGAAGCGUGAGUGACGGUAAUGGGUAAAGAAGCACCGGCUAACUACGUG